rnacentral:rRNA from 1 species
AUUGAACGCUGGCGGCAGGCUUAACACAUGCAAGUCGAGCGGAGAUGAGGUGCUUGCACCUUAUCUUAGCGGCGGACGGGUGAGUAAUGCUUAGGAAUCUGCCUAUUAGUGGGGGACAACAUUCCGAAAGGAAUGCUAAUACCGCAUACGUCCCACGGGAGAAAGCAGGGGAUCUUCGGACCCUGCGCUAAUAGAUGAGCCUCAGUCGGAUUAGCUAGUUGGUGGGGUAAAGGCCUACCAAGGCGACGAUCUGUAGCGGGUCUGAGAGGAUGAUCCGCCACACUGGGACUGAGACACGGCCCAGACUCCUACGGGAGGCAGCAGUGGGGAAUAUUGGACAAUGGGGGGAACCCUGAUCCAGCCAUGCCGCGUGUGUGAAGAAGGCCUUAUGGUUGUAAAGCACUUUAAGCGAGGAGGAGGCUACUGAGACUAAUACUCUUGGAUAGUGGACGUUACUCGCAGAAUAAGCACCGGCUAACUCUGUGCCAGCAGCCGCCGUAAGAC